GGUUGGCAACGCGCUGACGCGCAUUUUUCUAAUCACGAGCCUGGUUAUAGAACUGAAUUGCUGUGUUUUAACUACUUACACAAGAUAUUUCAUUAAUAAUUAUCUAAUAUUUCAAGUUUAAAUACAAUUUUGUAUUUAUUAUAUGUUUAGUUAAUUUUCUUAUCUAUUCAGCUUGUGUAAAUUUAUUUAAUAAAGUAGGGAUGCAAACAUUUGGUAAUGAUCAGCUUCACAUUUAUUUUUUUGUAACAUUAAAAACCAUUUACAAAUAGCCACAAUUUUGCAAAAAAUGACUAUAAAUCUUCAGGCUGUUACUUCUGAAAAUGUAUCAAAUUACCUCAUUUUAACUUUGAGGAACAAAAAACUAAAAGAAUCUCACAAAAUGUGAAUACUGUUUAUGAUUCAGUGGGACACAGCAGCUUUUAUUCGAUAUUUCCGAAUUGUCACAUACCUAACACAUUCAUCCACUUCAUCACUCAUCAUCAUAAUUCAUAAAUAAAAUAAAAUGAAAUGAUGCAAUAAAAUAAAUAUACAAAAAGUAUAUUGUAUAUUUCAUACAAUAUAUUGUCAAAUGAAACGUUUAGUUUAAAAUUUAAUUUAUUUUAUGCAAUUAUCGGAUUUGUUUUGAGGGCACACUGUCCAAUCUGCCGAAGUAAUGCACAAAUUUGAAACUUAGUCUUUAGAAAAAAUGAUAAAAAAAUUGUUUUUGAAAAAAACAGGUUAUGGAAAAAUCUUAUUUGAAAUAUUUAAAAAAAAAUACAAUAUUAUAAAUAAGUCAUAUGCAAAACUCCUGAAAAAAUUACGUACCAUUUUUUAAUAAAAAAUACAAACAUUUAAAAUGAAAUAAAACUAAAGAAAAAAAACUAAAGAAAUCAUUUUACUAAUUACUUUUCAGAAAAAUUCAAUUCAAAUUUCGCGUUCACGAGCUUGUUGGAAACGUUCUCACUAUACUAGAAAGCGAUUUUCGGUAAUAAUUCUCUCUGAUUUUUUUAGGUUUUAAUGAGCUUUUUUAUUAUGAAGCAAAAUUAUGAUUAAUUAAUUAAUUAUUCAGCUCGCGUAAAUUUAUUUGACAAAAUAAACAUGUAUUUAUAAAAGUGGUAAUAAUUCUAUAAACAGCUUAAUUAAAUUAGAUUUAUAAUAUUAUAAUUGUAUUUAUAAAUAAUCAACACGCAAUACCUACUGCACCAAAAUAAAAUAUACAAUUUGAAAUGAAAUUUAUAAACAAGUGGCUGAACGUGUUAGAGGCAGUAUAGUAGCUUUAUUAUUUAUUAAAAAAGUUCUUUCGUUAUUAAAAUAUGGUGCUUUAACACCAAUUCGAUUUGUGUUAUUUAAUGAUUGAGUUGAUUUAGUGGGGUGUUUGAGAAGGAAAGAGUGGUUUAUUAUAACGAUUUAUUCAACAUAAAGUUGGGUUACAUUCUGUACUUACCUAAAAUACAUCAAUAAAAUUGAUAUAAAAUAAAGGUAAGUCCUAAGGGCUAAUAAUUUCACAGAUUUGAGUAACAGCGGAUCAUUUACAUUUUUAUUUGAAUUAUGAACGCUAGAUUUUGAAUAAUGUACAACAUUAAAAUGAAAGAUUUACAGCAUUGCAAAACGAACAUUCGAGUUUUUAAAAACAAUUAAACAGAUAAUCAAAAUUUUUACAGUAAAAAUACUUUAUACAUCAGCUCUUUCACCCAUCAUAUCAGAAAUACAACUGCAAUGAUAUUCAUUUUACAUUUAUAACUAACUAACUUAUCUAAUUAAUCACACCUUUAAUUUUAGGCUUAAUUAACUCACAUUUCAGUAUGCGUCCGUUUCACUGAAUAACCUGGAAUUAUUUACAAACAAAACACUGCAAGUUCAACAGUAAGUAGUGUAGUCUCACUUCACACAUGAAGUUAAUUCAUUUAUUAAAAAUUACAUUUAUAUUAUGUAUGUGGGUAUGUAGAUGAAAGAGGACGACAGUUCCUGAAGUAACGUGUACGUGAAUGUUACAUGACAAAAACGAUUUAUUUUCAAACAAUAAAACAAGUAACAUCACCAUCAAUUCCCGAUGAAAAUAUUCGUCCAGCAUGCAAUAAACAUAGUCUUAUCACAGUUGCUCAAUAAAUUCAUUUAUGGAGGGAUCCAACUCCAAUUUAACACCAACAAAUCGAAAAUUAGAUUGUCCUCACAAAUAGAGGCGAUAAAUUUCGUUUCCACGUUACAUAAAUUACACAAAUCCUUUUCACAUGGAAAUAAUAGAAAUUCACAAUGACGAAAAUAGAAAUUUUCGUUUUCUUCAAACGUACGCCACCGACCUACACCUAUAAAUCGAGCCUUGCCAUUAGUUAUUUGAUUUAUUGUUUGAAAACGUAUACAGUGGUCGUAAAACGAAACACUAUUGAGAAUGUAAUGAAAACGUCUAAAAUGCAAAAUUUUGUUAUAGUACAAUCUCAUCGCUUCUCCCUUUUACCUUAAGUCAGUUAUAUAAAAUCUAAUUAAAAAAUCAGUAACAAAACGGAACCAGUGAUCUUAAGCGCGGACGUUGGUAGUUUAUGUGGCCAGCAGCUCGACCAGGACUGCCAGGCUGAGGGCCACGGCGAUGGCGAAUCUGGGUGGUGUGCAGGCGGCGAGUCCGAGCCCCAUGGAGAGAUGGGACCAAGCCGGGAUGGGAGAAGCCGAGUUCUUGCCUCGUUGCAUGGCCGCAGGGUGCUCGCCUGCAAGCAAUCAAGGUAAGUGAGUGGCAAUGGGGCCGAUUCGCGGCUACCGUUGAGAACGUGCAGGAGGACGCUUGCUGAGUCCAGAUUGGAGGGGCUGCAGGUGUAGUUUCCUGAAUCUUCCGUCCGGGCGUGGAAAAUGAUGAGUGUGCUCACUGUGGUGUCUGUUCCCACACGAUCUGUGCGUAUAUCAAUUGCACUCCGAUCAUAUUUCAGGACGCGCUCGCCGUCGUGAUACCAGAAGAUAUAGGCGGGUUCCUCCAAAGACUGGGUGAUCACGCAUUUCAGGCUCACGGUGCUUCCGGUCUUCACAUAAAUGUCAGAUUCGCCCGAUAUCUCAAUUUUCGGGACUGGAAGAAAAGUUACUCACAAUUAUUCACAACAAUUAAACUAAAAUACUGUAAUACUAAAAUUAAAGUACAGUGGAACCUCUAUAAGUCGAAGUAUAGAGGUUUCGAGAUAAAGAAUAAAGCUUUUUAAACUCC